rnacentral:misc_RNA from 1 species
UGAUGAACUACAUAGCAAAGCACAAUCUCCUAAAACCUGUUGUUGAUGUCUUUGUUGCUAAUGGAGAUCGCUACAAUCUUCUAAACUCAGCUGUUCUUGAACUUUUUGAGCAUAUUCGUAAGGAUAACUUGAAAAUAUUGCUCAAGUAUUUAGUCGACUCAUUCUGGGAUGAAUUGGUCAAGUUUGAAAAGUUGACAUCUAUCCAAUCAUUGAAAAUUAAAUAUGAGCAGUCUCUAGACAGCGCAGGAAUAAG